UUUCCGUAGGUGAACCUGCGGAAGGAUCAUUAAAGAGAAUAUGCCCUUCGGGGUAGAUCUCCCACCCUUUGUUUAUAUUACCUUUGUUGCUUUGGCAGGCCCGUCUUCGGACCACCGGCUUCGGCUGGUCAGUGCUUGCCAGAGGACCCAAAACUCCUAUUAUUAAUGUCGUCUGAGUACUAUAUAAUAGUUAAAACUUUCAACAACGGAUCUCUUGGUUCUG
rnacentral:misc_RNA from 1 species